CAGUAGCCGCGGGAAUACGUAGGGUGCAAGCGUUAAUCGGAGUUACUGGGCGUAAAGCGUGCGCAGGCGGUUCUAUAAGACAGAUGUGAAAUCCCCGGGCUCAACCUGGGAACUGCAUUUGUGACUGUAGAGCUGGAGUGCGGCAGAGGGGGAUGGAAUUCCGCGUGUAGCAGUGAAAUGCGUAGAUAUGCGGAGGAACACCGAUGGCGAAGGCAAUCCCCUGGGCCUGCACUGACGCUCAUGCACGAAAGCGUGGGGAGCAAACAGGAUUAGAUACCCCAGUAGUCCCUGUCUCUUAUAA
rnacentral:rRNA from 1 species